rnacentral:rRNA from 1 species
GACGAACGCUGGCGGCGUGCUUAACACAUGCAAGUCGAACGGAAAGGCCCUGCUUUUGUGGGGUGCUCGAGUGGCGAACGGGUGAGUAACACGUGAGUAACCUGCCCUUGACUUUGGGAUAACUUCAGGAAACUGGGGCUAAUACCGGAUAGGAGCUCCUGCUGCAUGGUGGGGGUUGGAAAGUUUCGGCGGUUGGGGAUGGACUCGCGGCUUAUCAGCUUGUUGGUGGGGUAGUGGCUUACCAAGGCUUUGACGGGUAGCCGGCCUGAGAGGGUGACCGGCCAAAUUGGGACUGAGAUACGGCCCAGAAUCCUACGGGAGGCAGCAGGGGGGAAUAUUGCAAAAUGGGCGGAAGCCUGAUGCAGGAACGCCGCGUGCGGGAUGAAGGCCUUCGGGGUGGAAACCGCUUUCGCCUGUGAAGAAGCGGGAGUGACGGUAAUGGGUAAAGAAGCAACGGCUAACUACGUG